rnacentral:rRNA from 1 species
AGUCGACGAUGAACCACUUCGGUGGGGAUUAGUGGCGAACGGGUGAGAAACACGUGGGCAAUCUGCCCUGCACUCUGGGACAAGCCCUGGAAACGGGGUCUAAUACCGGAUACUGACCCGCCUGGGCAUCCAGGCGGUUCGAAAGCUCCGGCGGUGCAGGAUGAGCCCGCGGCCUAUCAGCUUGUUGGUGAGGUAACGGCUCACCAAGGCGACGACGGGUAGCCGGCCUGAGAGGGCGACCGGCCACACUGGGACUGAGACACGGCCCAGACUCCUACGGGAGGCAGCAGUGGGGAAUAUUGCACAAUGGGCGAAAGCCUGAUGCAGCGACGCCGCGUGAGGGAUGACGGCCUUCGGGUUGUAAACCUCUUUCAGCAGGGAAGAAGCGCAAGUGACGGUACCUGCAGAAGAAGCGCCGGCUAACUACGUGCCAGCAGCCGCGGUAAUACGUAGGGCGCGAGCGUUGUCCGGAAUUAUUGGGCGUAAAGAGCUCGUAGGCGGCUUGUCGCGUCGGUUGUGAAAGCCCGGGGCUUAACCCCGGGUCUGCAGUCGAUACGGGCAGGCUAGAGUUCGGUAGGGGAGAUCGGAAUUCCUGGUGUAGCGGUGAAAUGCGCAGAUAUCAGGAGGAACACCGGUGGCGAAGGCGGAUCUCUGGGCCGAUACUGACGCUGAGGAGCGAAAGCGUGGGGAGCGAACAGGAUUAGAUACCCUGGUAGUCCACGCCGUAAACGGUGGGCACUAGGUGUGGGCGACAUUCCACGUCGUCCGUGCCGCAGCUAACGCAUUAAGUGCCCCGCCUGGGGAGUACGGCCGCAAGGCUAAACUCAAAGGAUUGACGGGGGCCCGCACAAGCGGCGGA